GACGAACGCUGGCGGCGUGCUUAACACAUGCAAGUCGAACGGAAAGGCCCUGCUUUUGUGGGGUGCUCGAGUGGCGAACGGGUGAGUAACACGUGAGUAGCCUGCCCUUGACUUUGGGAUAACUUCAGGAAACUGGGGCUAAUACCGGAUAGGAGCUCCUGCUGCAUGGUGGGGGUUGGAAAGUUUCGGCGGUUGGGGAUGGACUCGCGGCUUAUCAGCUUGUUGGUGGGGUAGUGGCUUACCAAGGCUUUGACGGGUAGCCGGCCUGAGAGGGUGACCGGCCACAUGGGGACUGAGAGACGGCCCAGACUCCUACGGGAGGCAGCAGUGGGGAAUAUUGCACAAUGGGCGGAAGCCUGAUGCAGCAACGCCGCGUGCGGGAUGACGGCCUUCGGGUUGUAAACCGCUUUCGCCUGUGACGAAGCGUGAGUGACGGUAAUGGGUAAAGAAGCACCGGCUAACUACGUG
rnacentral:rRNA from 1 species